rnacentral:pre_miRNA from 1 species
AUACUACUCCCUCCGUCCAGAAAUACUUGUCAUCAAAAUAAAUAAAAUGGGAUGUAUCUAGAUGUAUUUUAGUUCUAGAUACAUCCCUUUUUGUCCAUUUUGAUGACAAGUAUUUUCGGAUGGAGGGAGUAUAUG